UACAUGCAAGUCGAACGAACUUCCGUUAAUUGAUUAUGACGUACUUGUACUGAUUGAGAUUUUAACACGAAGUGAGUGGCGAACGGGUGAGUAACACGUGGGUAACCUGCCCAGAAGUAGGGGAUAACACCUGGAAACAGAUGCUAAUACCGUAUAACAGAGAAAACCGCAUGGUUUUCUUUUAAAAGAUGGCUCUGCUAUCACUUCUGGAUGGACCCGCGGCGUAUUAGCUAGUUGGUGAGGUAAAGGCUCACCAAGGCAGUGAUACGUAGCCGACCUGAGAGGGUAAUCGGCCACAUUGGGACUGAGACACGGCCCAGACUCCUACGGGAGGCAGCAGUAGGGAAUCUUCCACAAUGGACGCAAGUCUGAUGGAGCAACGCCGCGUGAGUGAAGAAGGGUUUCGGCUCGUAAAGCUCUGUUGUUAAAGAAGAACGUGGGUAAGAGUAACUGUUUACCCAGUGACGGUAUUUAACCAGAAAGCCACGGCUAACUACGUGCCAGCAGCCGCGGUAAUACGUAGGUGGCAAGCGUUAUCCGGAUUUAUUGGGCGUAAAGCGAGCGCAGGCGGUCUUUUAAGUCUAAUGUGAAAGCCUUCGGCUCAACCGAAGAAGUGCAUUGGAAACUGGGAGACUUGAGUGCAGAAGAGGACAGUGGAACUCCAUGUGUAGCGGUGAAAUGCGUAGAUAUAUGGAAGAACACCAGUGGCGAAGGCGGCUGUCUGGUCUGCAACUGACGCUGAGGCUCGAAAGCAUGGGUAGCGAACAGGAUUAGAUACCCUGGUAGUCCAUGCCGUAAACGAUGAUUACUAAGUGUUGGAGGGUUUCCGCCCUUCAGUGCUGCAGCUAACGCAUUAAGUAAUCCGCCUGGGGAGUACGACCGCAAGGUUGAAACUCAAAAGAAUUGACGGGGGCCCGCACAAGCGGUGGAGCAUGUGGUUUAAUUCGAAGCUACGCGAAGAACCUUACCAGGUCUUGACAUCUUCUGACAGUCUAAGAGAUUAGAGGUUCCCUUCGGGGACAGAAUGACAGGUGGUGCAU
rnacentral:rRNA from 1 species